UACGGAGGGUCCAAGCGUUAUCCGGAUUCACUGGGUUUAAAGGGUGCGUAGGCGGAUUGAUAAGUCAGUGGUGAAAGCCUACAGCUUAACUGUGGAAUUGCCAUUGAAACUGUCAGUCUUGAGUAUAGUUGAGGCAGGCGGAAUGUAGCAUGUAGCGGUGAAAUGCUUAGAUAUGCUACAGAACACCGAUUGCGAAGGCAGCUUGCUAAACUAAUACUGACGCUGAGGCACGAAAGCGUGGGGAGCGAACAGG
rnacentral:misc_RNA from 1 species